rnacentral:rRNA from 1 species
UACGUAGGGUGCAAGCGUUGUCUGGAAUUAUUGGGCGUAAAGAGCGUGUAGGCGGUUCGGUAAGUCUGCCGUGAAAACCUGGGGCUCAACCCCGGGCGUGCGGUGGAUACUGCCGGGCUAGAGGGUGGUAGAGGCGAGUGGAAUUCCCGGUGUAGCGGUGAAAUGCGCAGAUAUCGGGAGGAACACCAGUAGCGAAGGCGGCUCUCUGGGCCUUACCUGACGCUGAGACGCGAAAGCGUGGGGAGCGAACCGG